AGAGUUUGAUCAUGGCUCAGAUUGAACGCUGGCGGCAGGCCUAACACAUGCAAGUCGAGCGAACCUAGCUUGCUAGGUGAGCGGCGAACGGGUGAGUAACACGUAGGAAUCUCCCCGGUAGUGGGGGACAACGUCUCGAAAGGGACGCUAAUACCGCAUACGCCCUAAGGGGGAAAGCAGGGGAUCUUCGGACCUUGCGCUAUCGGAUGAGCCUGCGUCGGAUUAGCUAGUUGGUGGGGUAAAGGCCUACCAAGGCGACGAUCCGUAGCUGGUCUGAGAGGAUGAUCAGCCACACCGGAACUGAGACACGGUCCGGACUCCUACGGGAGGCAGCAGUGGGGAAUAUUGGACAAUGGGGGCAACCCUGAUCCAGCCAUGCCGCGUGUGUGAAGAAGGCCUUCGGGUUGUAAAGCACUUUAAGCUGGGAGGAAGGUUUCUUGGCUAAUAUCCAAGAGAAUUGACGUUACCAGCAGAAUAAGCACCGGCUAACUCCGUGCCAGCAGCCGCGGUAAUACGGAGGGUGCAAGCGUUAAUCGGAAUUACUGGGCGUAAAGCGCGCGUAGGCGGCUUGAUCAGUCGGAUGUGAAAUCUCUGGGCUCAA
rnacentral:rRNA from 1 species